rnacentral:rRNA from 1 species
GAUGAACGCUAGCUACAGGCUUAACACAUGCAAGUCGAGGGGAAACGAUAGAGAAAGCUUGCUUUUUCUAGGCGUCGACCGGCGCACGGGUGAGUAACGCGUAUCCAACCUGCCCAUCACUUGGGGAUAACCUUGCGAAAGUAAGACUAAUACCCAAUGACGUCCCUAGAAGACAUCUGAAAGGGAUUAAAGAUUUAUCGGUGAUGGAUGGGGAUGCGUCUGAUUAGCUUGUUGGCGGGGUAACGGCCCACCAAGGCGAAGAUCAGUAGGGGUUCUGAGAGGAAGGUCCCCCACAAUGGAACUGAGACACGGUCCAAACUCCUACGGGAGGCAGCAGUGAGGAAUAUUGGUCAAUGGACGAGAGUUUGAACCAGCCAAGUAGCGUGCAGGAUGACGGCCCUAUGGGUUGCAAACUGCUUUUAUAAGGGAAUAAAGUGAGAGUCGUGACUCUUUUUGCAUGUACCUUAUGAAUAAGGACCGGCUAAUUCCGUGCCAGCCGCCGCGGUAA